UGGCUCAGGACGAACGCUGGCGGCGCGCCUAACACAUGCAAGUCGAACGAGCGAGAGAGAGCUUGCUUUCUCGAGCGAGUGGCGAACGGGUGAGUAACGCGUGAGGAACCUGCCUCAAAGAGGGGGACAACAGUUGGAAACGACUGCUAAUACCGCAUAAGCCCACGGGUCGGCAUCGACCAGAGGGAAAAGGAGCAAUCCGCUUUGAGAUGGCCUCGCGUCCGAUUAGCUAGUUGGUGAGGUAACGGCCCACCAAGGCGACGAUCGGUAGCCGGACUGAGAGGUUGAACGGCCACAUUGGGACUGAGACACGGCCCAGACUCCUACGGGAGGCAGCAGUGGGGAAUAUUGCACAAUGGGGGAAACCCUGAUGCAGCGACGCCGCGUGGAGGAAGAAGGUCUUCGGAUCGUAAACUUCUAUCAAUAGGGACGAAAAAAAUGACGGUACCUAAAUAAGAAGCCCCGGCUAACUACGUGCCAGCAGCCGCGGUAAUACGUAGGGGGCAAGCGUUAUCCGGAAUUACUGGGUGUAAAGGGAGCGUAGGCGGCAUGGUAAGUAAGAUGUGAAAGCCCGAGGCUUAACCUCGAGGAUUGCAUUUUAAACUAUCAAGCUAGAGUACAGGAGAGGAAAGCGGAAUUCCUAGUGUAGCGGUGAAAUGCGUAGAUAUUAGGAAGAACACCAGUGGCGAAGGCGGCUUUCUGGACUGAAACUGACGCUGAGGCUCGAAAGCGUGGGGAGCAAACAGGAUUAGAUACCCUGGUAGUCCACGCUGUAAACGAUGAGUGCUAGGUGUCGGGGAGGAAUCCUCGGUGCCGCCAGUUAACCCAAUAAGCACUCCACCUGGGGAGUACGACCGCAAGGUUGAAACUCAAAGGAAUUGACGGGGGCCCGCACAAGCGGUGGAGCAUGUGGUUUAAUUUGAAGCAACGCGAAGAACCUUACCAAGGUUUGACAUCCCGCUGACGUAUUCAGAGAUGAGUAUUUUCUUCGGAACAGCGGAGACAGGUGGUGCAUGGUUGUCGUCAGCUCGUGUCGUGAGAUGUUGGGUUAAGUCCCGCAACGAGCGCAACCCUUAUCAUUAGUAGCCAGCAUUUAAGGUGGGCACUCUAAUGAGACUGCCGUGGAUAACACGGAGGAAGGUGGGGAUGACGUCAAAUCAUCAUGCCCCUUAUAUCUUGGGCUACACACGUGCUACAAUGGCCGGUACAAAGAGAAGCGAGACCGCGAGGUGGAGCAAAACUCAUAAAACCGGUCCCAGUUCGGAUUGUAGUCUGCAACUCGACUACAUGAAGCUGGAAUCGCUAGUAAUCGCAAAUCAGAAUGUUGCGGUGAAUACGUACCCGGGCCUUGCACUCACCGCCCGUCA
rnacentral:rRNA from 1 species